CGGUUGAUCCUGCCGGACCUGACUGCUAUCGGAUUGAUACUAAGCCAUGCGAGUCAUUGUAGCGAUACAAGGCAUACGGCUCAGUAACGCGUAGUCAACCUAACCUAUGGACGGGAAUAACCUCGGGAAACUGAGAAUAAUGCCCGAUAGAACACUAUACCUGGAAUGGUUUGUGUUCCAAAUGAUUUAUCGCCAUAGGAUGGGACUGCGGCCUAUCAGUUUGUUGGUGAGGUAAUGGCCCACCAAGACUAUUACAGGUACGGGCUCUGAGAGGAGUAGCCCGGAGAUGGGUACUGAGACACGGACCCAGGCCCUAUGGGGCGCAGCAGGCGAGAAAACUUUGCAAUGUGCGAAAGCACGACAAGGUUAAUCCGAGUGAUUUGUGCUAAACGAAUCUUUUGUUUGUCCUAGAAACACUAACGAAUAAGGGGUGGGCAAGUUCUGGUGUCAGCCGCCGCGGUAAAACCAGCACCUCAAGUGGUCAGGAUGAUUAUUGGGCCUAAAGCAUCCGUAGCCGGCUCUGUAAGUUUUCGGUUAAAUCUGUACGCUUAACGUACAGGCUGCCGGGAAUACUGCAAAGCUAGGGAGUGGGAGAGGUAGACGGUACUCGGUAGGAAGUGGUAAAAUGCUUUGAUCUAUCGAUGACCACCUGUGGCGAAGGCGGUCUACCAGAACACGUCCGACGGUGAGGGAUGAAAGCUGGGGGAGCAAACCGGAUUAGAUACCCGGGUAGUCCCAGCUGUAAACUAUGCAAACUCAGUGAUGCAUUGGCUUGUGGCCAAUGCAGUGCUGCAGGGAAGCCGUUAAGUUUGCCGCCUGGGAAGUACGUACGCAAGUAUGAAACUUAAAGGAAUUGGCGGGGGAGCACCACAAGGGGUGAAGCCUGCGGUUCAAUUGGAGUCAACGCCGGG
rnacentral:rRNA from 1 species